rnacentral:rRNA from 1 species
GUCCUAGCCGUAAACGUUGGGUGCUAGGUGUGGGUGGACAUCGACCCCAUCCGUGCCGAAGCUAACGCAUUAAGCACCCCGCCCUGGGGAGGUACGGCCGCAAGGCUAAAACUACAAAGGAAAUUGACGGGGCCCCCGGCCACAAGCGGCGGAGCAUGCGGCUUAAUUCGAUGCGACGCGAAGAACCUUACCUGGGUUUGACAUGCAGGGUGAAACCCGUGAAAACGGGCGCUCUUCGGAGCCUGCACAGGUGGUGCAUGGCUGUCGU